CCCAUGAUGCACCUCGGUAUCUGUACUUCCGGUUGGGAACGUGUUCAGCGCAGUUCUGCACAGAUGAGAGGUGUGUCGGAGGUGUCGGAGGAUUAACGUUUUUCCUUGCAUUCGUGUGUGUGUUAACCCUGUGUGCGUGCUUAUCAUAUGACCACACACACUCAUAUACACACUCACACUCCCUUUCCCUGCAUGUGAAUGCUGUAAUGCAAUCGCUUCCCCACCGACGCUGUACAUCCUGUUGAUGUCAUCUGCCACCUCCUUAUUAAAGUUACUUGAACUACAUCACUGUGGAGUGCCAUUCCUUCUGACCGAGGACGACUCAGUUGAAGCGUGAUCGGCAAUCAGUGCAAACAUACAUAACAGACCAGAAAAACAUCACAGCUGAAUCUGGACAGGACGUCACUCUGACAUGUCGAGCUCCAAACAAAAACAAGAUCACAGUUUUAGAGUGGACCAGAGCUGAACAGCAAAAUGUCCUUUUGUACCACAAUGAGCGGUUGUAUCUAGAUGACCAGCAUCCAUCUUUUAAGAACCGGGUGGAUCUGCAGGACAGACAGAUGAAGGAUGGAGACGUGUCUUUGAUUCUGAAGGAUGUGACGAUUAAUGAUACUGGAACAUACGCGUGUCGUGUCAUCACAGGAGGAACAAACCGCAGGAAGAGCCCAAAUGUGGGUGCCAGCUUCAUCUACCUUCAUGUUGAUCCUCCAGCUCAGACAGGAGGACAAGAGAAGGAUGAAGACAACAAAGAUGGAGGAAAGGAAGACAAAGAGAAGGAGGAUGGAUCUGUGGGACUGAUAGUUCUUAGUCUGCUUCUUGUAGCUGCUGCUUCUGUUGGUUUUGUGAAGUACAAAGAAAAUGCAAAAAAAUGUUUGAACAUGUUGUUCAAAUAAGCAUUCCAGAUAGAGAGAAAUGUCCAGCAGACAUCUGUAGACUUCAAACAUCCAUAAUUUGAUUUUAUUUCUCAUUUCUCUGAUUAUGAGAAACAGACGCACACUGUUGGUCUGAGUCUGUGCUGUCUGUUUAUUCAUCCUCUACUCACUUACCUGGAGGAUCAACUAUCCAUCAAGCCUGUUCAUGCGAUUCACUGACACAAACUAAAACUGUAACAUACAGGAAUUUAUGAGGCAUAAUCUAACAAUCAAUGAGUGUUUUUUUUUUUCUUGUAGCUUCAGGUUCAGCAGCUGUUUAUAAACUUAUUCUGUGAAUUUGAAUCACAAAAAUUAGAUGGUCUUUUUCAGUGGUUGUUGCUCAAUGUUCAUGACAGUUUUCAUGUUAAUGAUCAAGGAACUGACCUCACAGCCCAUUGUUUCAUCAGUGGGCUAGUUUCAGUUAUUGUGCAAAUGUACUGUUUAUAACUCUCCAAAAGUUGAUUCUGUUCAUCUGGAAGUAGCAUUUUCAGUGGGAGAAACAUUUCGCAAAUUAUCCAGGUGACUUCUUCAGUCUCAGCUGACUGCAGGUUUCCCCAAUCUUAUAAACAGUACAUUUGCAUAACGACUGAAACCAGCCCACUGAAGGAACAAUGGGCUGUGAGGUCAGUUCCUUAAUCAUAAUUAUGCAAAUUCUCAUGAUCAUCAAAAAUCUCAACUUUUUGAGAUUUACUUUCCUGGAUGAUUGAGAAUGCAUCAAGAUGAUACUGUUUAUCUGUGCCAUGGCAGAAGACCAAGGGCAGCUACACUACUACACUGCACUUUGGGGUGGCGGUAGCUCAGGUGGAAGAGCAGAUUACCUUCUAACUGGAAGGUUGGUGGUUCAGUUUCUGUCUGCUCCAGUCAGCAUGCUAAAUAUCCUUGGGCAAGACACUAACUCCAAGUUAAGUGUGUGAAUGUUAGAUAGAAAGAGCAUAGAAAAGUGUGUGAAUGGGUGAAUGAGGCAAGUUUUUUUAAAAGUGCUAUAUAAGAGCCAGUCUAAAGUUUGGACACACCUUUUCAUUUAGGCUCAGGCUCUUGAUAAAAUGACAACAGGUCGGCUCUGAGCGCUGAUACUCUGCCACGCCUCAGGGCUGUGACUCUGACACUGGAACUGAGCUAGACUUCAUAAUUUGUUUAUCUUUGCUUCACAUCACCACUUCUCAAACACUCCACUUUGUUCUGCAACCUCAUGACUGAACCCAACCUUGAUUUUUUUCACCCCACUUUACAGGGAGAGACUCAGAGAGGCUUUCAUUUUCAUUUCACAAGAAAAAGUUAAUCAGUUUCACAUGCAGAUGAUUCAUAUAGCACACACUGUUUGUGCAGUUUGUUUUCCUGAUUGUUCUGGUUACUGAUCUGGUUCAACAAGCCACCAGUUUUAUUUUCUUUUGCACAAAGCCAAAGCAGCCAAACCUCCUGUGCACUGUAUUAAAGAGUGGAUAAGAAAUAAAGACUGAGUGCAGAGUUCUGUCUUCACCUUCACCUACUGGAGAAAGUCUGAAGAUGUUAAAGCAACAUGUGUGUUGCACGUGGAUUAAAAUGAAUUGAAACCAGUGUGACUUUGUGAGUUCGCCUUUACUGUAUCUGCAAAUAUAUAUGUAGACAUAGCACGUUACACCUUUUGCAGUC
ensembl:lncRNA